rnacentral:rRNA from 1 species
AGAACGAACGCUGGCGGCAGGCCUCAAACAUGCAAGUCUAGGGGGCGUAGCAAUACGUCACCGGCGGACGGGUGCGUAACACGUGGGAAUGUACUUACUGGUUCGGAACAACUCAGGGAAACUUGAGCUAAUACCGAAUGUGCCCGAAAGGGGAAAGAUUUAUCGCCAGUAAAUCAGCCCGCGUCCGAUUAGCUAGUUGGCGGGGUAAAGGCCCACCAAGGCGACGAUCGGUAGCUGUUCUGAGAGGAAGAUCAGCCACACUGGGACUGAGACACGGCCCCAGACUCCUACGGGAGGCAGCAGUUGGGAAUCUUGGACAAUGGGGAAACCCUGAUCCAGCCAUGCCGCGUGAGUGAUGAGGCCUUCGGGUGUAAAACUCUUUCGACGGGGACGAUAAUGACGGUACCGUAGAAGAAGCUCCGGCUAACUUCGUGCCAGCAGCCGC